rnacentral:rRNA from 1 species
UACGUAGGGGGCAAGCGUUGUCCGGAAUUAUUGGGCGUAAAGAGCGUGUAGGCGGCCAGAUAAGUCCGCUGUGAAAUCUCGAGGCUCAACUUCGAGCUGUCGGUGGAAACUGUCUGGCUAGAGUCCGGAAGAGGAGAAUGGAAUUCCUGGUGUAGCGGUGAAAUGCGCAGAUAUCAGGAAGAACACCCGUGGCUAAGGCGGCUCUCUAGUACGGUACUGACGCUGAGACGCGAAAGCGUGGGGAGCGAACAGG